GACGAACGCUGGCGGCGUGCUUAACACAUGCAAGUCGAACGGGCCCGCCCCUGUUUUUGGGGGUGGGUUGAGUGGCGAACGGGUGAGUAUCACGUGAGUAACCUGCCCCCUGCUCCUGGAUAACUGCUUGAAAGGGCGGCUAAUACGGGGUGUGCCGGCUGGUCCGCAUGGGCCUGGUCGGGAUAGUUUCAUCUUCGGGUGUUUCGGUGGGUGAUGGGCUCGCGGCCUAUCAGCUUGUUGGUGGGGUGAUGGCCCACCAAGGCGGUGGCGGGUGGGCGGACUGAGAGGGUGGGCGGCCACACUGGGACUGAGACACGGGCCAGACUCCUGCGGGAGGAAGCGGUGGGGGGUAUUGCACAAUGGGCGGAAGCCUGAUGCAGCGACGGCGGGUGAGGGAUGGAGGCCUUCGGGUUGUGAACCUCUUUCUCCGGUGGUGAAGGCCCUGUCCGUUGCGGCGGGGUUGACGGUAGCCGGGUAUGAAGCGCCGGCUAACUACGUG
rnacentral:rRNA from 1 species